rnacentral:lncRNA from 1 species
CCUUGAUGUAGCACUGGGAGAUGCGUAGAUGCCUGGCUCUGCCCUUUCCGCACCGCCAGAAAGGGGAGUAAUCCGAUCUCCUGCGCUUAAGCCACAGAAAAAGUAGGACACUGGCACCAUAGAAACCAUUUGCCCCACACCUCUGUGCGGUUCCUGCAGGCCUGGGAGGAAAUCUGCCUGGAGGACCCGCAACGUCCUGUCCCGAGCUCCCUGAGAUACAACACAUUGCCCAGCUCGUGCCCAGGCACAUGCGGAGCAUGGGCAAGUGGGAAGUCCUUCGGGAAUAAACACAGGGAGCUUCUGCUGAUGAACCUGCAGGGCCUAAAAGCUUCUUGAGCACCUACUUGCUGUCCCUUGGCCAGUAUGGAGCAUUUGUACCGUGAGGAAUCAGGUAAUCCUUUCCACUCUCAAUGUCUUUUCUGUGCCA